GCGGAUGUGGUGAAAUUGGUAUACACGCUGGUUUUAGGUACCAGUGGCGCAAGUCGUGAGAGUUCGAGUCUCUCCAUCCGCACCA
rnacentral:tRNA from 1 species